rnacentral:rRNA from 1 species
GAUGACGCUGGCGGCAGGCCUAACACAUGCAAGUCGAACGAGUGGCGGACGGGUGAGUAAUGUCUGGGAAACUGCCUGAUGGAGGGGGAUAACUACUGGACACGGUAGCUAAUACCGCAUACCAUCGGAUGUGCCCAGAUGGGAUUAGCUAGUAGGUGGGGUAAAGGCUGACCUAGGCGACGAUCCCUAGCUGGUCUGAGAGGAUGACCGGCCACACUGGAACUGAGACACGGUCCAGACUCCUACGGGAGGCAGCAGUGGGGAAUAUUGCGCAAUGGGCGCAAGCCUGAUGCAGCAAUGCCGCGUGUGUGAAGAAGGCCUUCGGGUUGUAAAGUACUUUCAGCGGGGAGGCGUUACCCGCAGAAGAAGCACCGGCUAACUCCGUGCCAGCAGCCGCGGUAAUUC